rnacentral:rRNA from 1 species
CCUACGGGAGACAGCAGUGAGGAAUAUUGGUCAAUGGACGAGAGUCUGAACCAGCCAAGUAGCGUGAAGGAUGACUGCCCUAUGGGUUGUAAACUUCUUUUAUAUGGGAAUAAAACGUUCCACGUGUGGGAUUUUGUAUGUACCAUAUGAAUAAGGAUCGGCUAACUCCGUGCCAGCAGCCGCGGUAAUACGGAGGAUCCGAGCGUUAUCCGGAUUUAUUGGGUUUAAAGGGAGCGUAGGUGGUUUGUUAAGUCAGUUGUGAAAGUUUGCGGCUCAACCGUAAAAUUGCAGUUGAAACUGGCAGUCUUGAGUACAGUAGAGGUGGGCGGAAUUCGUGGUGUAGCGGUGAAAUGCUUAGAUAUCACGAAGAACUCCGAUUGCGAAGGCAGUUCACUGGACUGCAACUGACACUGAGGCUCGAAAGUGUGGGUAUCAAACAGGAUUAGAUACCCGGGUAGUC